ensembl:snRNA U6 U6 spliceosomal RNA
GUGCACUUUUCAGAACACAUAUACUAAAACUGGAACAAUACAGAGAAGAUUAGCAUGGCCCCUGUGCAAGGAUGACAUGAAAAUUUAUGAAACAUUCCAUAUUUUU